UUGAUUUAAUAUCAAAGGAAGCAUUUUGGAAGCCUCAGUAUUGUCACAUAGUCAACGCAAUCCUAUCUCAGUUCUCAGAUUGUGACAGAUUCCUCAUGAAGUCUUCACAAAGCCAUCACGAGCUUAUGAAGGAGUUGUGCUGGAAUCAGCACCAAGAAUUCAUGGAUCUGUUGUUAUAUCAUUAUGGAGUCAUCACCAAGUGAUCUCAGAGUUGCCAUGGAGCUGUCAUCAAGACACUGAGUCAUCACUGAGACAUGGAAUCAAGAGGGGAUUAUCACAGAGUAGUCACGGUAUCACCUCAGUUGUCACAGAAUGAUUUAAGAAUCAUGACAUUGUCAUACACAUUUUGUCUGCAGUUCACCAACAAGCCAUCACAAGAUGAUCCUCAAGACAUCUUAGAGUCCUAGAGUCAUUGGGGAGUCCUUAGGGAGAUAGCACAUGCUGUUAGCUGAUCUUCAGGAAGAUCUUGCACUUACUGAGGAUCUGUAUUAGCAAGGCAUCUUGAUAUCAAGAUGUAAGGGAUAUCAAUGCAGAUAUAGUCUCAAGAGCUGUCACUACUGAGGGAAAGGUCCUGCCAUGCAGCUCACUGCAGUACUGGAGAUCCUGAAGGGUCUUUUGGGCUGCUCACUAUUUAUGGGAUGACAGAUGGUUUUCUUGGCACAUACUCAACUGGCCCUCAGCUGUUGAACCAGGUGUCUGCUAUCAGUUAUUUCAGCCCCCACUUUGAGACAGAUUUGUAGUUGUUAAUCUGUUUUAUUGAAAGUUAUCAACCCUGUAUAAAGUCUUGUUUGCAAGACCAGGUUGAAGGAGGGAGUUGGGGUAAGGAAAGAGGGCAAUGAGAGGGGUGGGGGAGCAUGCUGUCACAAUGAGCCAAUUGUGUGAGUGCAUGCUAGAAUGCUAGGUGAUAAUGGAAUGAUGUGGAAGGGAAGGUGCAGUUCAGGGCCAAUCCUGCCUCUUGUACCUGCCACAUGCAGUCAGUUCACAACCUGUAUGUGUUACACAUGCCGUGUGCCUGUGCUGUUUGGGGGUGACACCUGUGCAUGUCUGUCUGAAAUGCAGUUUGUCUUUCACAUCACCUUGCUGCUGCUGAAAUGCACCACCCAGCACCUUUAUGUGUUCACAUAUUCAACAAUCAUCGAUGAAGGUAUUAAUAUGGAAACUCUCUUGACUGCCAGCUAUGAUUUGUAUUUCUGCAGGUGUUGGCAAAGUCAUGCACACCAACCUUGUAGUGGCAUUUGUCUUUUA